rnacentral:misc_RNA from 1 species
GGCAUUGCAAGCACUAGUGAAGGAACAUCAUUUGGCCAAGGACUCGCCAAGCCCUAAAGGAUGCGCCACUUGCCUAAUGACAUUGCACAUACGAGAAGAAGAAGGAACAAGCAUGGCUGAAUGCUUGGGAGACCCAUUAGAGCAUAGCUUAGGUGGCAUGCCAAGUGGCGAAUGAUCUGGCAACCAAGGAAGAUGUGGCAGCUUGUGUGGAAGGUGACGUGGCAUGUGGGACCUCUUCUUCUACAAGUCUACCAACCAUUAGAAGAUACAGCUUUGCCCAAUAUGCAAGAGCUAUUGGUGUUGGUUAUUGUCCACUUCUUUUACACUUUUGGUAAAAGCUAAUUAACUAAAUCAAACUACAAGACAAAGAACAUUUUUUGGAGAUUGUGAUUUGAUUUGGGAGGCUUCUUUUGCAA